GUGGUAGUGGGAAGUUGGUGGAGAUUGUUAGCAUUGAUGGAUGAUGAUGGAGAUUACAAGAGGUGAUGGGUAGCGGUAAAGAUCGUCGGCUAUGAUGGAUGAUAGUAGAGAUUAUUGGCAACAUGGUGGUAGGUGAUGGGAGGUGGUGGUAGAGAUAGUCAACAGUAGUGGUGAUGAAGAUCGUUGGUACUUGUAGGUGAUCAUAUAGAUCAUUUACAUUAGUGGACAAUGGUCAAGAUCGUUAACAGUGGUAGCGGUGGAG
rnacentral:lncRNA from 1 species